rnacentral:lncRNA from 1 species
CCCGCCGCCAGUGACAGCGUCCCGUGGCCCGAGCCUUAGCCUCCCUAGUGCAGUGAGAGAUCCCGAGAGCGGACGGUUUCCACGCCUCCCGGCCCUGAACAAGCAAUGCUGGAGCAAAGGGCUUCGUUCUCUUCUGGAAGCAGAAGCGUCCGAAGCUCGAGUCACUUAUGCGUGGCAAGUCCCGUCCCGCGCAGCGUUCCCAGCUGGGUCCUCUGACGUUUCCGCAAACAUCUCAGCUAAGAAAGAAAGGUUAGCCAAUCUUUAUACCAGUAAACAAACAUGGGCUAUCUAAUAUGCGAAGUUUUCUGUUCUGAUACAGAUUUGCACAUUUUAAAAAUACCUCAACAGGUCCACUUACCACACCCUCCGACUCCCUUCUCGUAAGCCGGGAGCAUUGUGAAGAGAUGUGCUAUGGUUAAAUGAGCUGCAUCUAAUGCGAUUAUUAAACCACCAUAUCUUCACACACUGGGGAUUGAAUGCAGGACUUUUACAAUGAGCUACUUCCCCAGCCCUUUUUAAAUGUUUUUAUUUUGAAACGUCUUACUAAAUCGCCCCAAGCUGGGCUCUUGCAGUCCUCCUGCUUCCACCUUCCAGAGUACUAGGAUUACAGGUGUGUACUACCACCCCCACCCUUCCCCACCCCCAGCCACCGUAAUCUUGAGUUGUUAUCCUCUGAACAAUCUGUGGUCCUCCAGCCUCAGUCUCCCUAGUAGCUGGGAUUACAGG